CUAAAAACCCUUUUAAACCACUAUCCAGUCUCUCCUAACCCAGUAACUUGUCGGAUUUCAUCUCAGGAGCACUUGAAGAUAACAUGUAUAGAUCUACUUGUGAAUCUGGAUAAAUCACAUAUAUUUUGUAGGCAUCCUGAGAAUUAGCUGUUUAGCAAAUAAAUCUCGUUUAUGCAUCAAAAUAUUAAAAUGAAAUUUUUCAUACCUGGUUGCUGGGCUAUUGGCGGACCCUUUUCAUCCAUUUUCCCUCCUCAAAUGAUAAAAUAUUGUCGCAGAUUUAUUGUUUCUUCUGUGCCAAAACCACAGUGGCCAAAAUAUUGCAACUUCGAAUACUACAGUAGCGAUUACGUCAAGUAAACAACACAGCCACCGCCUGACGAAAGGAACCAAGGGAAUGUUUGCCGAAUCAUGCAGGUUUGCAGGUUUCUAUGUGUGUUAAUAUUUUAAAAAUAUUUGUUAAAUAUUGGGUAUAGGUAUUGGAAUCUGGUCAUUAUAUAGUAUUAAUAAAAUUUUUACAAACAUUUCGAUUCGAGAACAUCACUAUACGCGCGUAAAUUGUCUAAAUUUGGCGUGAAA